GUAUGCUUUGUGUACUGGAUUCAUACUAGAUAUACUCAACAGUUUGCCAAAACCUUAUUAAGUGCUUAAUGGCUUAAGCACUUAAGCCCAAACAUCAGAUCUACAGACCUAACAUGCCUAGGAUCCAUAGAGUCAUGAACUUUAUCACUUUGGACAUCCAUAAAGUUCUUAAUGCUUGGUAUUAAUCCAUUGAGACCUUAUUUCAUCAUGCAUGGGACACAUAUAGCUAAUGGGAUCUCAUUUUUAUAACUCAAGGUCCCUUUAAGAGUCUAGAAGGACAACCCUUUUCAUCCAAGUCACAACAUGCACUACCUUAUGGCAUUUGGGACAAGAAAUGCUUUAAUAAAGUAAAAUGGUGAGAUCUAUGCAUAUAUGCAUAAAGUUUGGAAAUUUAUAACUUCUGGAGAUUAUUAAGCACAAGCUAACUUCAGAUCUACAAGUUUGAUCUUCUUCUCCAACACUUUGAUGCAAUACCUUCCUCUUAAAGCACUGAAGAACACACCAAAUAAGCUUAAACAUGCAAAGGAAAGGCUAGGGUUUAGGGAGGACGAAUGUAAUCUUUGGAGGCUGAGGUAAGGGAGGUUUUAAUGCUCAUAAUGUUGCUUAUAUAGUCCCCUAACCCUAAAUAUUAGGGUUUCACCCUGACAUUAGUACGCCCAGCGUACUAAGGCGGACCUUCGUACCCUUCGCGUACUCUUUUGUACGUGCAACAUACUCCCACAUGGCCCAAUUUUGCAAACAUGGCCCUUAAACUUGUCUUGGCUCUUCACUUCCAACCCCACAGACUAUAAAUGACAAGGUAAAGAUAGAAGAGAGUUCGAGAGUACCUGCCACAUUUUGGGAUGUUACAAACUUAUACUCUCAAAUGUAGUUUAUAAAAAAACAUGAGUAGUGUAAGCACUACUCGUGGCGCGUGGUAUCAGUCGGUCCAUGCAGAGUGGCUAUAUGAGCGCGUGUUGGUAUCGCCUCUUCUUUGUCGGUUACCGCCUAGCGUUUUUCCUCCAUCAACCGCCUUUCCAUCAUGGCUUGGCAUUCCCGGGAUUCCCAAACUUCACCUCGGUUGGAAGUGAUUUCCCUCUGCAGGGCCUCAGGGUGAUCCCUGUUCCGGUCAUGAUCUUCGUUUAGGCGACGAAGGUUUAACGACGUAAAUUUUCAACCAAAUUUUUUAUUUUAAAAAUUCACAAAAUUCAUACAUUUUUAUUGCAAGAAAAUCAUAAGUGUCUUAAUGUCAACAUAAAAUCUCAAUCAUAAGUCAAAUCCUAGAAUCCUCAAUUUCAUCACGAACAGAUGUGUACAAUCACACCGAUGCCUUCCUGCAAUCCUCUUGGGUACCUAAAACACAUAACACAGAACGCGGUAAGCACGACACUUCGUUAGUUACCCAAAUACAACAUACAACAUAUUAACCACUUGAGGCUAUAACUCUAUAUGACCCUCUGGUCAAUGUGUCUCAGUGGGACCCUCCAGUCCCACAACUCUGAUGGACCCUCCGGUCCUAACUAUAUGGACCUUCCAGUCCUAACUCUGUAAGCUCUGGAUAAUGCAUAGCGUAAAUCACAUAGAAAUAAGGUAAUAUAUCAUAUUACAUCAUUAACAUAUAAGAUACUUUGUCGCACAACUCGGUUUACCACUCUAGGUAUGUAUAGUGAUAAGAGUCACCUCACAGCUAGUAGGAAAAAGACACACACUUGAGAAUCCUGAACUAGCCUCCACCUAACACAUUAGACAACCAUUUCAAUCAAUAUCCCCCUUUUCCUCAUUUACACCUAAAGUCCUCUUUUCUCUUUAUAUUCUAUUGGAUGGGUAAAAAACCAUUUUACCCCUCCAUGGUCUCAAUGUUCCUAAUUGACCUAUUCUCAAGUCAAUAGAAGUCAAGAUGAGUCAAUAGCCAAGGUUGACCCAUCUUGCUGAGUGCACUCAGGUGACUCGCCGAUUCCACUCGUAUCCUAUGAAUUCUUCUAAGGGUUUCACACAGCUCGUCGAGUUAACUCCUAACUCGACGGGUUAUCACUGGGUCAUGAAUUGUUGGGGCAACCCGAUCUGACUCAUCGAGUUAUCUCAUAGAUUCAAUGAUUUGACUCAUCUAGGUGUCUCAUAUGGACGUUUGAGGUCAGAUCUGCAACCCCAUUUGACAAAGGCCCGAAAAAGGACGUAUGUGUGGUGUGCUCCUCUGGUACGCGGGGUGUACUCAUCCAGACGUUGACCACCAUCGGGGUGGUUGACCCAGUAUGCUUUGUGUACUGGAUUCAUACUAGAUAUACUCAACAGUUUGCCAAAACCUUAUUAAGUGCUUAAUGGCUUAAGCACUUAAGCCCAAACAUCAGAUCUACAGACCUAACAUGCCUAGGAUCCAUAGAGUCAUGAACUUUAUCACUUUGGACAUCCAUAAAGUUCUUAAUGCUUGGUAUUAAUCCAUUGAGACCUUAUUUCAUCAUGCAUGGGACACAUAUAGCUAAUGGGAUCUCAUUUUUAUAACUCAAGGUCCCUUUAAGAGUCUAGAAGGACAACCCUUUUCAUCCAAGUCACAACAUGCACUACCUUAUGGCAUUUGGGACAAGAAAUGCUUUAAUAAAGUAAAAUGGUGAGAUCUAUGCAUAUAUGCAUAAAGUUUGGAAAUUUAUAACUUCUGGAGAUUAUUAAGCACAAGCUAACUUCAGAUCUACAAGUUUGAUCUUCUUCUCCAACACUUUGAUGCAAUACCUUCCUCUUAAAGCACUGAAGAACACACCAAAUAAGCUUAAACAUGCAAAGGAAAGGCUAGGGUUUAGGGAGGACGAAUGUAAUCUUUGGAGGCUGAGGUAAGGGAGGUUUUAAUGCUCAUAAUGUUGCUUAUAUAGUCCCCUAACCCUAAAUAUUAGGGUUUCACCCUGACAUUAGUACGCCCAGCGUACUAAGGCGGACCUUCGUACCCUUCGCGUACUCUUUUGUACGUGCAACAUACUCCCACAUGGCCCAAUUUUGCAAACAUGGCCCUUAAACUUGUCUUGGCUCUUCACUUCCAACCCCACAGACUAUAAAUGACAAGGUAAAGAUAGAAGAGAGUUCGAGAGUACCUGCCACAUUUUGGGAUGUUACAAACUUAUACUCUCAAAUGUAGUUUAUAAAAAAACAUGAGUAGUGUAAGCACUACUCGUGGCGCGUGGUAUCAGUCGGUCCAUGCAGAGUGGCUAUAUGAGCGCGUGUUGGUAUCGCCUCUUCUUUGUCGGUUACCGCCUAGCGUUUUUCCUCCAUCAACCGCCUUUCCAUCAUGGCUUGGCAUUCCCGGGAUUCCCAAACUUCACCUCGGUUGGAAGUGAUUUCCCUCUGCAGGGCCUCAGGGUGAUCCCUGUUCCGGUCAUGAUCUUCGUUUAGGCGACGAAGGUUUAACGACGUAAAUUUUCAACCAAAUUUUUUAUUUUAAAAAUUCACAAAAUUCAUACAUUUUUAUUGCAAGAAAAUCAUAAGUGUCUUAAUGUCAACAUAAAAUCUCAAUCAUAAGUCAAAUCCUAGAAUCCUCAAUUUCAUCACGAACAGAUGUGUACAAUCACACCGAUGCCUUCCUGCAAUCCUCUUGGGUACCUAAAACACAUAACACAGAACGCGGUAAGCACGACACUUCGUUAGUUACCCAAAUACAACAUACAACAUAUUAACCACUUGAGGCUAUAACUCUAUAUGACCCUCUGGUCAAUGUGUCUCAGUGGGACCCUCCAGUCCCACAACUCUGAUGGACCCUCCGGUCCUAACUAUAUGGACCUUCCAGUCCUAACUCUGUAAGCUCUGGAUAAUGCAUAGCGUAAAUCACAUAGAAAUAAGGUAAUAUAUCAUAUUACAUCAUUAACAUAUAAGAUACUUUGUCGCACAACUCGGUUUACCACUCUAGGUAUGUAUAGUGAUAAGAGUCACCUCACAGCUAGUAGGAAAAAGACACACACUUGAGAAUCCUGAACUAGCCUCCACCUAACACAUUAGACAACCAUUUCAAUCAAUAUCCCCCUUUUCCUCAUUUACACCUAAAGUCCUCUUUUCUCUUUAUAUUCUAUUGGAUGGGUAAAAAACCAUUUUACCCCUCCAUGGUCUCAAUGUUCCUAAUUGACCUAUUCUCAAGUCAAUAGAAGUCAAGAUGAGUCAAUAGCCAAGGUUGACCCAUCUUGCUGAGUGCACUCAGGUGACUCGCCGAUUCCACUCGUAUCCUAUGAAUUCUUCUAAGGGUUUCACACAGCUCGUCGAGUUAACUCCUAACUCGACGGGUUAUCACUGGGUCAUGAAUUGUUGGGGCAACCCGAUCUGACUCAUCGAGUUAUCUCAUAGAUUCAAUGAUUUGACUCAUCUAGGUGUCUCAUAUGGACGUUUGAGGUCAGAUCUGCAACCCCAUUUGACAAAGGCCCGAAAAAGGACGUAUGUGUGGUGUGCUCCUCUGGUACGCGGGGUGUACUCAUCCAGACGUUGACCACCAUCGGGGUGGUUGACCCAGUAUGCUUUGUGUACUGGAUUCAUACUAGAUAUACUCAACAGUUUGCCAAAACCUUAUUAAGUGCUUAAUGGCUUAAGCACUUAAGCCCAAACAUCAGAUCUACAGACCUAACAUGCCUAGGAUCCAUAGAGUCAUGAACUUUAUCACUUUGGACAUCCAUAAAGUUCUUAAUGCUUGGUAUUAAUCCAUUGAGACCUUAUUUCAUCAUGCAUGGGACACAUAUAGCUAAUGGGAUCUCAUUUUUAUAACUCAAGGUCCCUUUAAGAGUCUAGAAGGACAACCCUUUUCAUCCAAGUCACAACAUGCACUACCUUAUGGCAUUUGGGACAAGAAAUGCUUUAAUAAAGUAAAAUGGUGAGAUCUAUGCAUAUAUGCAUAAAGUUUGGAAAUUUAUAACUUCUGGAGAUUAUUAAGCACAAGCUAACUUCAGAUCUACAAGUUUGAUCUUCUUCUCCAACACUUUGAUGCAAUACCUUCCUCUUAAAGCACUGAAGAACACACCAAAUAAGCUUAAACAUGCAAAGGAAAGGCUAGGGUUUAGGGAGGACGAAUGUAAUCUUUGGAGGCUGAGGUAAGGGAGGUUUUAAUGCUCAUAAUGUUGCUUAUAUAGUCCCCUAACCCUAAAUAUUAGGGUUUCACCCUGACAUUAGUACGCCCAGCGUACUAAGGCGGACCUUCGUACCCUUCGCGUACUCUUUUGUACGUGCAACAUACUCCCACAUGGCCCAAUUUUGCAAACAUGGCCCUUAAACUUGUCUUGGCUCUUCACUUCCAACCCCACAGACUAUAAAUGACAAGGUAAAGAUAGAAGAGAGUUCGAGAGUACCUGCCACAUUUUGGGAUGUUACAAACUUAUACUCUCAAAUGUAGUUUAUAAAAAAACAUGAGUAGUGUAAGCACUACUCGUGGCGCGUGGUAUCAGUCGGUCCAUGCAGAGUGGCUAUAUGAGCGCGUGUUGGUAUCGCCUCUUCUUUGUCGGUUACCGCCUAGCGUUUUUCCUCCAUCAACCGCCUUUCCAUCAUGGCUUGGCAUUCCCGGGAUUCCCAAACUUCACCUCGGUUGGAAGUGAUUUCCCUCUGCAGGGCCUCAGGGUGAUCCCUGUUCCGGUCAUGAUCUUCGUUUAGGCGACGAAGGUUUAACGACGUAAAUUUUCAACCAAAUUUUUUAUUUUAAAAAUUCACAAAAUUCAUACAUUUUUAUUGCAAGAAAAUCAUAAGUGUCUUAAUGUCAACAUAAAAUCUCAAUCAUAAGUCAAAUCCUAGAAUCCUCAAUUUCAUCACGAACAGAUGUGUACAAUCACACCGAUGCCUUCCUGCAAUCCUCUUGGGUACCUAAAACACAUAACACAGAACGCGGUAAGCACGACACUUCGUUAGUUACCCAAAUACAACAUACAACAUAUUAACCACUUGAGGCUAUAACUCUAUAUGACCCUCUGGUCAAUGUGUCUCAGUGGGACCCUCCAGUCCCACAACUCUGAUGGACCCUCCGGUCCUAACUAUAUGGACCUUCCAGUCCUAACUCUGUAAGCUCUGGAUAAUGCAUAGCGUAAAUCACAUAGAAAUAAGGUAAUAUAUCAUAUUACAUCAUUAACAUAUAAGAUACUUUGUCGCACAACUCGGUUUACCACUCUAGGUAUGUAUAGUGAUAAGAGUCACCUCACAGCUAGUAGGAAAAAGACACACACUUGAGAAUCCUGAACUAGCCUCCACCUAACACAUUAGACAACCAUUUCAAUCAAUAUCCCCCUUUUCCUCAUUUACACCUAAAGUCCUCUUUUCUCUUUAUAUUCUAUUGGAUGGGUAAAAAACCAUUUUACCCCUCCAUGGUCUUAAUGUUCCUAAUUGACCUAUUCUCAAGUCAACAGAAGUCAAGAUGAGUCAAUAGCCAAGGUUGACCCAUCUUGCUGAGUGCACUCAGGUGACUCGCCGAUUCCACUCGUAUCCUAUGAAUUCUUCUAAGGGUUUCACACAGCUCGUCGAGUUAACUCCUAACUCGACGGGUUAUCACUGGGUCAUGAAUUGUUGGGGCAACCCGAUCUGACUCAUCGAGUUAUCUCAUAGAUUCAAUGAUUUGACUCAUCUAGGUGUCUCAUAUGGACGUUUGAGGUCAGAUCUGCAACUCCAACUUCUAGAUCUAGCCUCCUAAUACCCAAAAGUCACGUAAAGGUUCAAUCUUGACGACCAUGCAUGGCAUAAACGCUUCAUAAUGCCAUCAAA
rnacentral:lncRNA from 1 species